rnacentral:tRNA from 1 species
UCCCUGGCAGUCUAGUGGUUAAGGCUCUACACUUCUGAUGCAGGGGGUGCAGGUUCGAACCCUGGUUGGGGAA